rnacentral:rRNA from 1 species
GACGAACGCUGGCGGCGUGCUUAACACAUGCAAGUCGAACGGUAAGGCCCCAGCUUGCUGGGGUACACGAGUGGCGAACGGGUGAGUAACACGUGGGUGACCUGCCCCGCACUUCGGGAUAAGCCUGGGAAACUGGGUCUAAUACCGGAUAGGACCGCACCGUGAGGGUGUGGUGGAAAGUUUUUCGGUGUGGGAUGGGCCCGCGGCCUAUCAGCUUGUUGGUGGGGUAAUGGCCGACCAAGGCGGCGACGGGUAGCCGGCCUGAGAGGGUGGACGGCCACAUUGGGACUGAGACACGGCCCAGACUCCUACGGGAGGCAGCAGUGGGGAAUAUUGCACAAUGGGCGGAAGCCUGAUGCAGCGACGCCGCGUGGGGGAUGACGGCCUUCGGGUUGUAACCUCCUUUCACCAUCGACGAAGGUUUUCUGACGGUAGAUGGAGAAGAAGCACCGGCUAACUACGU